CCAAUAGCGUAUAUUAAAGUUGCUGCAGUUAAAAAGCUCGUAGUUGAAUUUCGGGACCACUAUGUCGGUCGUGCUUCGGUACGUACUGUCAUUAUUGGUUUCUCCCUUCUGAAGAACCUUGAUGUCAUUAAUUUGGUGUCUUGGGGAAUCAGGACUGUUACUUUGAAAAAAUUAGAGUGUUUAAAGCAGGCUCGCGCUUGAAUACAUUAGCAUGGAAUAAUGAAAUAGGACGUUUGAUUCUAUUUUGUUGGUUUCUAGGAUCGACGUAAUGAUUAAUAGGGAUAGUUGGGGGCAUUAGUAUUCAAUUGUCAGAGGUGAAAUUCUUGGAUUUAUUGAAGACUAACUACUGCGAAAGCAUUUGCCAAGGAUGUUUUCAUUAAUCAAGAACGAAAGUUAGGGGAUCGAAGACGAUCAGAUACCGUCGUAGUCUUAACCAUAAACUAUGCCGACUAGGGAUCGGAUGAUGUUAAUUUUUUAAUGACUCAUUCGGCGCCUUACG
rnacentral:rRNA from 1 species